UCUCCGUAGGUGAACCUGCGGAGGGAUCAUUACCAGAGAUGGCGGGCCUCCGUGCCCCCGUCCCCAACCCAUUGUUGACCAAAACCUUUUUGCCUCGAGGGCAGAGCGUCCGCCGCCGCCCCCGGAGGACCACCGAACGCUGUCUCUAUACGUCGGAGUAUUGAUUAAAUGAAUGAAAACUUUCAACAACGGAUCUCUUGGUUCUG
rnacentral:misc_RNA from 1 species